UACAGGAAUGCACAGCUGUCCCAUACAGGGAUCGAACCUGCAGCCUUGGUGUUAUCAGAGUCACGCUCUAGCCAACUGAGCUAUCUAUAAAAUCAAUUCUGAGAUCCAUGCACAUUUGAAAUACCCAAUAACCAUUUCGUCAAAGCAUUAAAACAUCCUUAAUUUUAAAAGCAUUACAAUUAAGUAACAUCAGAAGUGCAAGGGCAGGCUUCCCUAAACAGAUGUGUCUUCAGGAGCCAGUGACAUGCAAAUGUGGAUGGAGGUGGUGUAUUUCAGCAGGGAGGGCAUUCCAACCACACUACAGCCACCAAUGAAGACCCAGUUCUUCGUUACCGCAGACUGAUAAUGUCAGGCUGUGGUAGAACUAACUGGGUUCUGUCUGGUGGUCAUAGUGCCCUUGUGGACUAGUUCCACAGACUGAUUUUUUUUUAGUGCAAACAAGUUCUAAUGGUAUGUCAGGGCCUAGCUAUGACUUCAGCAUCGUGAGGUGGUGACGCUUAGCCAGAAUUUGGGUACAUAUUUAUAUUUUAAUUCACUGGGUCACGGGCAUGAUUAUGAUCUAUCAUUUUGUUUAUAUGUGUUUCUGCCUCGCCUCCUUUCAUGGACCUCAAAAGCGAUGCAGAGAGGUUUGCUGGCCCAUUCCACCCUGGACACUCGUCAGAGGCUUCAGCAAGAACGACAAAAGCACAGCAGUUACAUUCGCAGCAUGUUAAAGAUCACGGAUCAGAGCAAAGCAGAAGAUAAGGAUGAGAAUAAGGAUUUGCAAAACAAGGCUUUAGUGCAGGUGUGGGGAACCUUUGGCCUUCCAUCCGCCCCAGAAAGCAGCCUUUGGCCAAUCAGCAGCCUCUGGACAGCCAAGCAUUGCCCACACCUGCUUUAGUUGGUCAUGAGAAAGGGGUGAUAUUGGCUACGUCUUGGGAAGAUUUAACCAGUGGGAACUUAGAUCAGAGGUGCAAUAAAGCAUGGCAAACUGCUUUCACUGAAAGAAGAAGACCCUGCUGGAUCAGGCCAGUGGCUCUUCUAGUCCAGCAUCCUGUUCUCGCAGUGGCCACCCAGACGUCCGCAGGAAACCUGCAAGCAGAACUUAAUGCCCAAGGGCGGGGAGGAAAACAUGGGACCCAAUUACAGCCGCGUGCUCCGGUUUUAUUAUUUGCACAGAUGGGAGUAUGAGCAACUGAGGAGCCAUGCAAUUAGCUGAGAUUGUAGGUAGCUGCAUCUGCCUCUAAAGACCAUCGCUGCAAGCUGAAAGACAAAUGCACAAUCACUAGUUGAUUGAUUCCCUUUUGUAGGCUUCCCCAGCUGGGCCUUGCUGCUAAGACACACAUGCACACUCUCACUCUCUCCUACCAUCAUCACUGUACCCUAUUUUACAGAGGCUGCUCUGUCCUGGCAAGGAGGUGCAGCUGCUACAAACAGCCCUUGAACUGAUGAAAUAGCCCCCCCCUAUUGAUAAGACGGGCAAAUAAAGCCAUUUAUUGUCUGCAAAUGGCAAAGCCCCCCAGAACCUGAGCUCAGCAGCAGCCUCUUCUGAAGGUAAUUCUCCCCACCAACCACCCUGCUUUCUGCUCCAAGCUGUGCCCCCAUCACCACAGCAACCUCGGGUGAAGCUGGAGGUAUCUCUGCCUCCUGCCAGACAUCUGGGCCAGCCGUGUCAUUGAGGUUCCUUGCGGAGAUAAGCAAAGAUUUCUUCCUUUUUCCUACCGACCCCUCCUCCCCUCCCUGCAGCUGUCUGGGACCCUGGGCUCUUCCUCCACCGGCAAGAAAGCCUCAGCUGCUGCUGUUUUCACCCAUGCCAGGAGGGGAGGGAGCUGUGCAGCCCCCCCUUACCCAAACCAGAUUUCCUACUUCAUUUUGGACACUGGCGCCUUGUUGCACCCCCUUUAAAUUCUGGCGUUCCACCUUAGCUCCCUUGGGAAGAUGCAGCUCAAAGGGGACAAGAGAGGCAUGCAGGUGUUUCACAGGGCAGGGUUCCCAGGGAGACAGCGUCUGAGGCCUGUUCAGUGCUUUCUUGACAUACAAAGGAAUGCCUGAAUGUCUCAAUAAACAACACUUGUUUUCUA